GCUUACCCUGUACCUACCCUGUAGUUACCCGGUAGCAGCCGCCGGUGGACCUUCAAACUCUUGUUUAACUAUAAGCAUUCUGAGUAAUUACUAUAAUAAGUUAAAACUUUCAACAACGGAUCUCUUGGUUCUGGCAUCGAUGAAGAACGCAGCGAAAUGCGAUAAGUAAUGUGAAUUGCAGAAUUCAGUGAAUCAUCGAAUCUUUGAACGCACAUUGCGCCCAUUAGUAUUCUAGUGGGCAUGCCUGUUCGAGCGUCAUUACGACCCUUAAGCCUUAGUUGCUUAGUGUUGGGGGUUCGCCGUAACUGGCGACCCCUUAAAGAUAUUGGCGGAGUCGAGGUGAACUCUGAGCGUAGUAAUUUUUUUCUCGCUUUUUGAAGUCUCCACGGCCACAGCCAUUAAACCCAACUAUUUUUCUAGUGGUUGACCUCGGAUCAGGUAGGAAUACCCGCUGAACUUAA
rnacentral:rRNA from 1 species